rnacentral:rRNA from 1 species
CGACCUGCACGAAUGGCGUAACGACUUCCCCACUGUCUCCAGCAUCGACUCAGCGAAAUUGAAUUGCCCGUGAAGAUGCGGGCUACCCGCGGUCAGACGGAAAGACCCCGUGCACCUUUACUACAACUUUGCAGUGGCAUUAGAGCAGGCAUGUGUAGGAUAGGCGGGAGGCUUUGAAACCGGGGCGCCAGUUCCGGUGGAGCCAUCCUUGAAAUACCGCCCUUAUCUGUUCUGAUGUCUAACCGCGGUCCGUGAAGCCGGAUCCGGGACCCUGCAUGGUGGGUAGUUUGACUGGGGCG